GGCGCCGUGGCCGAGUGGUUCAGGCAGCGGUCCGCAAAACCGUGUACGCGGGUUCGAGUCCCGCCGGCGCUU
rnacentral:tRNA from 1 species